GCAGUGUUGGUAGCAGUGGUAGCAGGAGGAGAAAAAGGAAUGACAGCAACGGCAGUGGCAACAAUCGCUAUGCCUAUACGGAUCGACAGGACGACGACGAAGACGAAAACCAACGCAUGCGCAGGAAUAUGCAAAGGAACAUGGAAACGGAAAUGCCCAUGGACGAGCGCCGCG
rnacentral:snRNA from 17 species